rnacentral:rRNA from 1 species
UACGUAGGCAGCGAGCGUUGUUCGGAGUUACUGGGCGUAAAGAGUGCGUAGGCGGUUUUUCUAAGUUUGGUGUGAAAUCUCCCGGCUUAACUGGGAGGGUGCGCCGAAGACUGGAAGGCUUGAGUAUGGGAGAGGUAAGCGGAAUUCCUGGUGUGAGCGGUGAAAUGACGCAGAUAUCAGGAGGAACACCGGUGGCGAAGGCGGUUCUCUGGGCAUUACCUGACGCUGAGGAGCGAAAGUGUGGGGAGCGAACAGG